CAGCCGCCACGGUAAUACGUAGGGUGCAAGCGUUGUCCGGAAUCAUUGGGCGUAAAGCGCGCGUAGGUGGCCAUUUAAGUCCGCUGUGAAAGUCAAAGGCUCAACCUUUGAAAGCCGGUGGAUACUGGAUGGCUAGAGUACGGAAGAGGCGAGUGGAAUUCCUGGUGUAGCGGUGGAAUGCGCGGAUAUCAGGAGGAACACCAAUAGCGAAGGCAGCUCGCUGGGACGUUACUGACACUGAGGCGCGAAAGCGUGGGGAGCGAACAGGAUUAGAUACCCGAGUAGUCCCUGUCUCUUAUAC
rnacentral:rRNA from 1 species